rnacentral:rRNA from 1 species
CACGUAGGGCGCAAGCGUUGUCCGGAAUUAUUGGGCGUAAAGAGCUCGUAGGCGGUCUGUUGCGUCCGCUGUGAAAACUCGGGGCUUAACCCCGAGCCUGCAGUGGAUACGGGCAGACUAGAGGUAGGUAGGGGAGAAUGGAAUUCCCGGUGUAGCGGUGAAAUGCGCAGAUAUCGGGAGGAACACCGGUGGCGAAGGCGGUUCUCUGGGCCUUACCUGACGCUGAGGAGCGAAAGCGUGGAGAGCGAACAGG